UACUAUAUUUUAGAGAAUUGUUCAAUGUUUUUUCAAUUUGGCAUUAAAACAAACAGAGUCGACAAAUAAAAGAUGGUGACUAGUUAAUAAAAGAGUUUAGAAUCCCCAUGGGGAUAAGGGCAAUGGAACGGAAUGGAGAAACAAAUUAAAUUGAUUAGAAAAAGAAUAGUAUUUCCUACCCUUAAAAAAGAAAGAAAGAAGACGGUGAUUCAGUUGAUGAUAAGAUGUGUGUGUACAUAAUUAACUUAACAUAUGAAGAAGAUGUCAUGGGAAAGAAAGUCAAUUGAGUUUAGUUACCCGCAAGAGAGCGUCGAGAUCGUCCUGCACCACUAUAUGAGAAUCAGAUUGAGAUUGAGAAUAAGACAUUAAAUGGUAUGGGAUACAGAUACUAUGAGUCAUUCUGAAAAUAAGCCACAUACCAACUCCACACUUCAGUAUUGGGGCCACAGAAGCAUUCUCAUGUUUGUUUUUUGCGCUGGAAGGAGUUCUGUCAAGAUACAUCACUGGAGAAGGCUGGUUUGUAUAUUAAUUCAUCUGAACAAAAUGAGUUCAGUUCUCCUAGUAGAAGCAUUGAUUUCAACCAAGAGAACUGUCUUUACUCUUCUGGCCUUUGUUCUCUGGCCAUUUCCUCUUCACAGGUUGAUGAGAUUGAACCACCAACUUGGACUAAAAGGCUUGCUACAGGGGAGGAUAUAUCAGUUGGAAAUAUGUUCUUUUUGACAUCUGCUGUGAAGAAAAGUUUUGAGAUGGUUAUGUUGGCAGUAAGUCAAAAGUGGCCUGUUCUUCUAUAUGGUCCUGCUGGCGCUGGGAAAUCUGCUCUUAUUCACAAGUUGGCCCAGGAUAGUAGGAACCAAAUUCUGUCUAUCCACAUGGAUGAUCAAAUUGAUGGUAAAACCUUAAUGGGAAGUUCUGUUUGUACAGAGCAACCCGGUGAAUUUAGAUGGCAGCCCGGGUGACUUACCCAGGCUGUUCAGAAUGGAUUUUGGGUUUUAUUUGAGGAUGUUGACAAAGCACCAUCUGAUGUGCAAUCCAUCAUACUACCUUUGCUGGAAGGUGCAAAAUCAUUUUCAAAUGGGCAUGGGGAGGAAGUAAUGGUGGCAGAAAGUUUUUGACUAUUUUCCACAAUUUCAACUUUUAGAUUUGAUAUAUCACACAGUUCAGAAGGUGGAAAACUUGGUGUUUUUUGGAGGAAAAGUGAUGAUUGUGCCUCCAAGUAAGGAAGACUUGCAAAAUAUAAUAAAAGCCUGGUAUCCAAAUUUAGAGCCAAUUUCUGAGAAACUCAUAGGAACCUUUGAAAGGGUUAACUCUUCUCCUGUACAUCAACUAGCGGGAUUCCACCCCAGAAAUUCUGCUGUUAGUUUUCUCAGCAGAUUCUCAUUAAGGGAUCUUCUUAAAUGGUGCAAGCGAAUCUUAGGUUUAGGCUUUAGCUUCAAUGGAGAUGGUUUGUCAGCUUAUGAGUGUAAUUACUGAGAUAUGGGUUCCCCCUGUUGGUGACCUAAAUGAGCUUAAGAGUAUUGCUCUGCAGAGGUAGAUAAGUGACCUAA